rnacentral:rRNA from 1 species
AAUCAACGCUGGCGGCGUGCCUCAGACAUGCAAGUCGAACGAUUAAAGCUCUCUUCGGAGAGUGUAUAGAGUGGCGCACGGGUGAGUAACACGUAAGUAAUCUACCCUCGAGUGGGGAAUAACGUCCGGAAACGGACGCUAAUACCGCAUAAUGCAGCGGCACCGCAAGGUGACAGUUGUUAAAGAUUUAUCGCUUGAGGAGGAGCUUGCGGCAGAUUAGCAGUUGGUAAGGUAAUGGCUUACCAAGGCUACGAUCUGUAACCGGUCUAAGAGGGACGGUCGGUCACACUGACACUGAAUAACGGGUCAGACUCCUACGGGAGCAGCAGUCGGAAUUUUGGGCAAUGGGCGAAAGCCUGACCCAGCAACGCCGCGUGAAGGAUGAAGUAUUUCGGUAUGUAAACUU